rnacentral:lncRNA from 1 species
CAGUUUUUAGUGCAUGUGUCAAUAUCAAUGACACCUCUAUUUUGUUAUAAUUUUUUUUGUUUGAAAUAUAAUUAUUUUAAUUUAUAAUUAAAAAAAUGGUUAUUGUGGUAUUUUAAUUGAAAAUAUUAAUUUUAAAAAAAAUUGAAAUUGAUUCAAUAUCUUUAUCUUUCUUAUUUUGAACAACGUAUUCUUGAAUCAAGAUCUCAUCUUCG